UCUAAGUGUUCCUGAACUUUUAUAGUUUUAAUGUUUUAUUUGGGAAUAGAAUGGUGUGUAUGUGUGAGUUUGGUGAUGGAGUUUUUAUUAUGAAUGAAUUAUGAAUUUUUUAUGAAUUAUUAUGUCUAUUUUUUAUGUUUUAUGGACAACAGAUGGAAAUUAGCCCUUGGCUAUAAUCUGGUAUGUUUACAUUCAUGUAUUUUUUUUUUUUUACAUGUAUGUUCAUUAACAUGCACUGUCCUAAUAAAGAGUAAUAAAGAGUAAGGCCAAGGUAAUGAUAUCAAUAAUGGUAUCUGGUUAGUUACCACAUGUCUGAGAUUUAUUCUGGGUCGAAUCUCUGUUUAGAGAUGUAAUUCACAUUAUUUGGAUCAUUUCAGCAGAUCAAGAAGAAAGUGAAGAAGACGACCUCAUCACUUAUGUCAUCAUUGAGAUAUCAGCUCAUCAAGAACAAUCUGACAAAGAAAGACGAGAUAUUUAUUUUGUAGUUGUGGUCUACUCAGCAGUGAGAACUGAAGACGUCAGUUAUGGACAAACAAUCAUCAGAACAAGGAGGCCCAGACUUUAAACCAGAGCCAGACGUUGUCUACUCUUCACUGAAGUAGUCCACCAGUCCAACCACUGACGUCCAGCUGCUGGUCUCUAAUUGGUCCCCCCAGCAUCUCAGACCAGAGUAAAAAAAGAAUUAUCAAACACAUUUUUAUAUGUUUUAUGUCAUUUUUUUGUUUAUUUUUUAUUGGAAUAUUUAAUAUUUUUUAGGCUAAGUGAGUAAUGUACAAAGGGCCUAUACACCAGUAAAGAUUACUUAGUGAUAUCAUAACUCAGAAUGUCUUCAGUAACCAACACAAUGUGGUGAUAAGUAUAACAAAGUUAGAAAAUCUGCAUCUGGUUAAAAGGAAAAAAACACAUAAACAUGAAAGAGUUUGCCAGAUUUGUGCUAAAUGAAAUAGCUGGAGUAGUGAAUAGAGAAUAUAUAGAGAGUAGUGCUGGGCGAUAUGACGAUAUAUAUCGUGUGGACGAUAGAAAAGUGUCUAUCGUGCCAUUUGUCUUCUAUUGUUUCUAACCCUAAUUUUAUAAAUUAUUACAUAAAAUAUAUCAUUAACCGGUUGGAGCAGGCACGCUCUGUUUUGCCUUUUAACUAUUUUUUUUUUUCUUUUUUUUAACCUGUCCCGUUUGGUUCUUUUGCCAUCAGAAUUAUUGUCUAAAGGUGAAGAAAGAUGCCCAACGGAUUUACUUUACCAAAUGGACCAUCCCAGCCUUGCCGUAAUGGUCCAUUUGAUUCACUUUUUAUUGUUCAUUUUAUUUUCACUUGCUGAAUACGGGACAGACUUGACUGGUGGAAAGAAAGGGGAGAAAGAAAGAGG
ensembl:lncRNA